AUGACGAGUGGCGGACGGGUGAGUAAUGCUUGGGAACUUGCCUUUGCGAGGGGGAUAACAGUUGGAAACGACUGCUAAUACCGCAUAAUGUCUUCGGACCAAACGGGGCUUCGGCUCCGGCGCAAAGAGAGGCCCAAGUGAGAUUAGCUAGUUGGUAAGGUAACGGCUUACCAAGGCGACGAUCUCUAGCUGUUCUGAGAGGAAGAUCAGCCACACUGGGACUGAGACACGGCCCAGACUCCUACGGGAGGCAGCAGUGGGGAAUAUUGCACAAUGGGGGAAACCCUGAUGCAGCCAUGCCGCGUGUGUGAAGAAGGCCUUCGGGUUGUAAAGCACUUUCAGUUGUGAGGAAAAGUUAGUAGUUAAUACCUGCUAGCCGUGACGUUAACAACAGAAGAAGCACCGGCUAACUCCGUGCCAGCAGCCGCGGUAAUACGGAGGGUGCGAGCGUUAAUCGGAAUUACUGGGCGUAAAGCGCACGCAGGCGGUUUGUUAAGCUAGAUGUGAAAGCCCCGGGCUCAACCUGGGAUGGUCAUUUAGAACUGGCAGACUAGAGUCUUGGAGAGGGGAGUGGAAUUCCAGGUGUAGCGGUGAAAUGCGUAGAUAUCUGGAGGAACAUCAGUGGCGAAGGCGACUCCCUGGCCAAAGACUGACGCUCAUGUGCGAAAGUGUGGGUAGCGAACAGGAUUAGAUACCCUGGUAGUCCACACCGUAAACGCUGUCUACUAGCU
rnacentral:rRNA from 1 species